rnacentral:rRNA from 1 species
UGGGGGAUAUUGCACAAUGGGCGAAAGCCUGAUGCAGCGACGCCGCGUGGGGGAUGAAGGCCUUCGGGUUGUAAACUUCUUUUGCUCUGAACAAGGCGCACCAUGGGGUGUGUUGAGUGUAGGGGUUGAUUAGCGCCGGCUAACUACGUGCCAGCAGCCGCGGUAAUACGUAGUGCGCGAGCGUUGUCCGGAAUUAUUGGGCGUAAAGGGCUUGUAGGUGGCUGGUUGCGUCUGUCGUGAAAGCUCAUGGCUUAACUGUGGGUUUGCGGUGGGUACGGGCUGGCUUGAGUGCAGUAGGAGAGGCUGGAAUUCCUGGUGUAGCGGUGGAAUGCGCAGAUAUCAGGAGGAAUACCGGUGGCGAAGGCGGGUCUCUGGGCUGUUACUGACACUGAGGAGCGAAAGCAUGGGGAGCGAACAGG